rnacentral:lncRNA from 1 species
AUUACAGAGGGCCCUCAUGGGGUUUUUGAUUAUGUGAUUACUUGGCCGUUUUUUUAAUGAUUAUUUGAUUAUUAAGCCAAAUAUUUCAUGAUUAUUUGAUUACCUAGGACUGUAUUUUUAGUUUAUGAUUAUUUGAUUACUAAAGAUAAGCAAAUAUUUAAUGAUUAUGUGAUUAUAUUGGCAAAAAAAUGGUGAUUAUGUGAUUACUAGGACCCCCCCCCCCAUGAGGGGCCUCAUUAC